UUAAAAACUUCCCUUUGGGCUGGUCUCCUGUAGGCUGAUUUGAGAAAUCUAUAGAAGUAAAAUUCUUUCUGGGGUCUCCAUAGUCCUGGGGCUUCCUAGACAACCCACAGCUAAAAUCAACCCACAGCUGCCUACAAGGCCAAUAGGCAAAUAAGAAUUGAAGAUUUGAUUUUCCCCAUAUAUGCAGCCUGCAGAAGACCCACUUUGAGGUCAGACCAUCUUACAGGCCUCCCAUUGGAUGACCCAAAGAACCAUAGACUCUUGAUGGGAUAUCUAGGACUUUCAUGGAGUUGCAAUGGGCUGUGUUCCUAGAUGUCACAGUACAUGACAGACUGAGGUUCUGUCAUCUCAAUGGAGGAAGCACCCCCUGAGGUGGAGAUCACUCAUGACCUAGAACACAUAGUAAAAACAUACAGGGAUGAAGGGGACCUGAACAUGGCUAAAACACACAUAUUUGUGUGUGCUCAUGAAUAUGUAAAAACAACAAGCCAGCAAAUGAAUGAGGGGAGGAUGAAGGGACAGGAGGGUUCACGAAGGCACUGUCAGCAUCGUGAAAGUGGAAGAAGGUGCCUCGAGAAAAGAAGGAACAGACAUAAUGAGGGCAGAAAAGGCUGUACUCACAGAAGCAGAGAGGAAGGUGCCAGAGGCUGGGGGAGGAGAGGAGGCAGCAGUCCCAGAGUGCAACAUCAAACAGGAGCAAGUUGUGGUUGACUCAUGAUGUUUGCUGGAUGCUGCCACUGCUGCUGAUUCCUGUUUGGUGACACACCUUGAACUGGGCAGUUGGUAUCCUGACACCACUGAACUGGACUGCUGCUAUCCUGACAACAAAAAUUGGGAUCACACCAAAAACCUGCUUCUAAACACAGGGUUGCCCAAAAGCUGAGUUAUGCUAACAGACUACUAAUUCCAGGGAGGAAUUUCACAACAGUCAUGGUCAUGUAGUGACUGGAGCAAUGCUGACUGAGGAAAGGUAGAGACUCGGGGGCCCCAGGGUCAGCAAUCAUUGUGUCCUUUGUGGCAAUGGCCCAUGGCUGGCCAUUUUUCAUCUCUGGACUUCACUUUUCAUGCGGGCACAACAAUGACAGAUUCCUCCAGUGUCCUCAGACAUUCCUGAGAAGCAAAUGGGUGGAGCCAAAGUGAAAACACUGAUGGUCGCUACUCUCCCCUCCCCCAAGUAAGAAGAAGACUUGUUUUGCCUUCUGGGUCACUGUCAUCAUUUCUGAUAUUGUGCCAACACAUCCUUCUGCAUUGGGGGCUGGGAAUGUCAGGGCAGGCACAGACAGUCAGUGGAAACAGAAAAGUUCCACAGGGCACAAGAGUCCAUAGAAAGGUUUUGACGAGCGGAGUGGCCAGAGGCCGUGGUGCCGACUAUCUGCUGUGCAGUGCACUGCCUUGUUUGACGAAUCGUUUGCCAAAGAGCCUGGCCAGCGGGAGCUUUGACCUUGGAGGGAGAGUGAUCUGUCUUCAUGGAGACACGCUGUCAUAAGCACAUGUCUCAAUUGCACCUGGGAAGGUGCUGAGGCUGCGCUAGAUGAGAGCCUUGGACACUGCUAAGGAGGAAAAAUGUGUGGUCCAUCCGUGGGCAUGGAAGCAGCAAAAAUUAACCCAGAGUGACCCAGCAGGACAGGCUGGAAUUCAUAUUCCCCUCCAGUGGCCAAGCAUUCUCCACAAGGCUCAAUGCACAGUCAGUCGUUCCUUGGGGAGCCACAGUGUCCCUCACCUCCCAACUUCCAACACCAGGCUCUUUAUCCUCACCAAGGACAAAGGGAACAGAGUUCUUCAUUGGUCACCAAGAACAAAGGACAGAGACAAUCUUUCGAGGCAACACCUUUAGCAGUAUCUAUUUAUAAAAAUAAAUAAAGAAUCCAGUACACUGACCUCUGCUCCAUUCU
rnacentral:lncRNA from 1 species